CACACCGCCCGUCACACCAUGAAAGUUGGUCGUACCAGAAGUCGUCACGCUAACCGCAAGGAGGCAGACGCCCAAGGUAUGGCCCAUGAUUGGGGUG
rnacentral:rRNA from 1 species